rnacentral:rRNA from 1 species
GAUGAACGCUGGCGGCGUGCCUAAUACAUGCAAGUCGAGCGAACAGAUAAGGAGCUUGCUCCUUUGACGUUAGCGGCGGACGGGUGAGUAACACGUGGGUAACCUACCUAUAAGACUGGAAUAACUCCGGGAAACCGGAGCUAAUGCCGGAUAACAUUUAGAACCGCAUGGUUCUAAAGUGAAAGAUGGUUUUGCUGUCACUUAUAGAUGGACCCGCGCCGUAUUAGCUAGUUGGUAAGGUAACGGCUUACCAAGGCAACGAUACGUAGCCGACCUGAGAGGGUGAUCGGCCACACUGGAACUGAGACACGGUCCAGACUCCUACGGGAGGCAGCAGUAGGGAAUCUUCCGCAAUGGGCGAAAGCCUGACGGAGCAACGCCGCGUGAGUGAUGAAGGUCUUCGGAUCGUAAAACUCUGUUAUUAGGGAAGAACAAAUGUGUAAGUAACUGUGCACGUCUUGACGGUACCUAAUCAGAAAGCCACGGCUAACUACGUG